rnacentral:tRNA from 1 species
GAGGGUAUAGCUCAGUGGUAGACUGCAUGCUUAGCAUGCACAAGGUUCUGGGUUCAAUCCCCAGUGCCUCUG